rnacentral:rRNA from 1 species
AGUGAACGCUGGCGGUAGGCCUAACACAUGCAAGUCGAACGACAGCACAGUAAGAGCUUGCUCUUACGGGUGGCGAGUGGCGGACGGGUGAGGAAUACAUCGGAAUCUACUUUUUCGUGGGGGAUAACGUAGGGAAACUUACGCUAAUACCGCAUACGACCUACGGGUGAAAGCAGGGGAUCUUCGGACCUUGCGCGAUUGAAUGAGCCGAUGUCGGAUUAGCUAGUUGGCGGGGUAAAGGCCCACCAAGGCGACGAUCCGUAGCUGGUCUGAGAGGAUGAUCAGCCACACUGGAACUGAGACACGGUCCAGACUCCUACGGGAGGCAGCAGUGGGGAAUAUUGGACAAUGGACGCAAGCCUGAUCCAGCCAUACCGCGUGGGUGAAGAAGGCCUUCGGGUUGUAAAGCCCUUUUGUUGGGAAAGAAAAGCAGCAGGUUAAUACCCCGCUGUUCUGACGGUACCCAAAGAAUAAGCACCGGCUAACUUCGUG